rnacentral:ncRNA from 1 species
ACGUCCUGCUCGUGAUCGUCUUCUCAACCUUCACUUGCAGGCGGAAUGACGGCCGGCCCCCGCGAGGACGUGACUCGCGGGGGCCGGUC